CAAAUAGUCCCCUCCUUGAACUCAGUAGGCCUGCCUUAUCACCCAGGGCAGGCAAUGUCAUGCGGGACAAGCCUAGUGGAUCUUAGAGUGCUCCCUGCCUUAUCACCCAGGGCAGGCAGUAUCGUGUGGGACAAGCCUAGUGGAUCUUAGAGUGCUCCCUGUGUGUUCCCAAGUGAGCAUCCCUGAAUUGUACUCAUCAGAAUGCCGGGUGAUGAAGGAUUGAACUACUGAACCAGACAAAUGAGGCUUGGAGAUCUGCUAACUAAACCUUAUUUUCAGGAAAAGAAUUCCCGGACUAGAAGAGUCAUAUUUUCUGACAAAAUAUGUACUAACUUAGGCUUGGUUAAUAUCCAAGUGGAGGAGUGUUGGUUCUUUAUAUGAUAAAUAACUGGGUCUGUGAUAAAGACUUUUUUGUGACCUCUUGUUAUCAAAAGUCCCCAGAAGAGGUUAAGAAACCAGGAAGGAUUCUGGCUAUUCUUAAACCUAGAUGCCAGAAAGAGGCUUGAAACACAAGUGACAAAGAAGUGGCACAGCCACCGAGGCAGGAGGACAGCAGCAAAGAUCGAAAGGUUGGGCCAUUGUGCUGAACGUUGCUGACAGGAGGACCCUCCAGCAGUUUCCAGAAGGACCCUCCAGUAGUUACCAAUGAGGAUGUCAACCAGUAGAAAAAGCAACUGUGAUUGGGUUUAAAGCCAGACAUGUCUGACUUGGCUAGUGAUUGAAGACAGUAAAGGGCACGAUGGA